AUGAGCAUCUGAUAGCUGACUCGCAUAAUCCUGACUUGCAUAAUCCACCUUUGCCUCAUCAACCUAAUUCCGUUACACGCACAAGCAAAAAUAAGUACUUCAGAAGAAAUUUUAAAAAUAGUACUAGCAUAAGUAUACCCAAGUUAUCUAGAAGAAGGUAGUGCACAAAUAACAUGCUUUGACUCUUGAAUUUUCUGCCACAAUUGGAUUUAAUCUUUGUUUUUUAUGUACAGAAUUAGCUCUAAAUUAGAAGACGAAUAUCUAAUUUAUUACUCCAACAGUGAAGGGUGAAAAGCAAGACAAGCGCGUGGAACGAGGUAGGACCGAGGGGUUUAUGUGACCCCUCUCCUUCCAUGGAAAAUUACACUAAUACUAUUUUUUAUGUAGUAGAUGUUGAACACCAUUUGACUUCUUCGUGUAUUGAAUUGAAACUCCUUGGUGAAAAUUGUGGCUCCACCACUAGCACCACAGUGUAUUCAUCAUAUUCACUUGAUUACGAUAUGAUUCUUUUCUAAUCUUACAAAGUUGUUCUCAUAAAACAACAUGAAAAUCAGAGUUUACACGUACCUUUGUUGAAGCUUUCUCCUCCUUUUUACUUAACAGUCUUGUCCUCAAAAAGUCAAGUCCUCCCAACGCAAGCAAUUCCAGAAUCACUCCUUCUGUAAAAUAUUGCAAAUAAACACACACACAAAAAAAAAUAGAAUUUUUAAUCAUCUGAAAUUAAACAAUGAACAUGUUUAAAGUAAGAGAUUUUUACUCAAAUAAUCUCUAUCCAUAUCUAUACAACUUUCAGAUGACAAGUCCGGGUUGAAAAUUUGUUUGA
rnacentral:lncRNA from 1 species